rnacentral:rRNA from 1 species
UUUUGAUCCUGGCUCAGGACGAACGCUGGCGGCGUGCCUAAUACAUGCAAGUCGAGCGGACAGAUGGGAGCUUGCUCCCUGAUGUUAGCGGCGGACGGGUGAGUAACACGUGGGUAACCUGCCUGUAAGACUGGGAUAACUCCGGGAAACCGGGGCUAAUACCGGAUGGUUGUUUGAACCGCAUGGUUCAAACAUAAAAGGUGGCUUCGGCUACCACUUACAGAUGGACCCGCGGCGCAUUAGCUAGUUGGUGAGGUAACGGCUCACCAAGGCAACGAUGCGUAGCCGACCUGAGAGGGUGAUCGGCCACACUGGGACUGAGACACGGCCCAGACUCCUACGGGAGGCAGCAGUAGGGAAUCUUCCGCAAUGGACGAAAGUCUGACGGAGCAACGCCGCGUGAGUGAUGAAGGUUUUCGGAUCGUAAAGCUCUGUUGUUAGGGAAGAACAAGUACCGUUCGAAUAGGGCGGUACCUUGACGGUACCUAACCAGAAAGCCACGGCUAACUACGUGCCAGCAGCCGCGGUAAUACGUAGGUGGCAAGCGUUGUCCGGAAUUAUUGGGCGUAAAGGGCUCGCAGGCGGUUUCUUAAGUCUGAUGUGAAAGCCCCCGGCUCAACCGGGGAGGGUCAUUGGAAACUGGGGAACUUGAGUGCAGAAGAGGAGAGUGGAAUUCCACGUGUAGCGGUGAAAUGCGUAGAGAUGUGGAGGAACACCAGUGGCGAAGGCGACUCUCUGGUCUGUAACUGACGCUGAGGAGCGAAAGCGUGGGGAGCGAACAGGAUUAGAUACCCUGGUAGUCCACGCCGUAAACGAUGAGUGCUAAGUGUUAGGGGGUUUCCGCCCCUUAGUGCUGCAGCUAACGCAUUAAGCAUUCCGCCUGG